UUCCCUGCGUAGUGCGUAUAGACAGAAUUUUUAGAACCAACACACAUAUAAGAGGGGCUGAUCUCAUAAAUGUGGCGUGCAAGCUCACCAAUUUGUAGUGAGAAGCCCAUGAGCAUUUAGGUAAGCACCCACCUGUUUUUAGGAGCAGGUCCUUAAAAAUUCCAAGUAUCUGACGGCUAAGGCGGGGUAU
rnacentral:other from 1 species